rnacentral:rRNA from 1 species
GACGUAGGGCGCGAGCGUUGUCCGGAUUUAUUGGGCGUAAAGAGCUCGUAGGCGGCUUGUUGCGUCGACUGUGAAAACCUGCGGCUCAACCGUGUGGUCUGCAGUCGAUACGGGCAGGCUGGAGUUCGGUAGGGGAGACUGGAAUUUCUGGUGUAGCGGUGAAAUGCGUAGAUAUCAGAAGGAACAUCAGUGGCGAAAGCGGCUUCCUGGACCAGAACUGACGAUCAGGCUCGAAAGCGUGGGGAGCAAACAGG